rnacentral:misc_RNA from 1 species
CACUUUUGUUUACUGUCCGUGGCCGCCCAUUUAUUGGAUCCAAUAAAGUCGAGACCUCUGUUUACGAGUCGUUGGCCAACGUUCCAUUUUUGAAGAGCAAGUAUGCAUGCUAAUGUGGAAGAAAGGGAGUCCUUGACUAGCAAGGGAUCGCUUGGGUGAAAAGCCCAUGACCCAUCAGGAUUCUGAUUCUCCAAAAUCCAAUUUAAGCAUUCCGGAAAACGGGACUGGUUUGAUGAAUCUCCGGCUGGGACCAUAGCUACCCAAGCAGUAUCAUAGGGAGAAGCGGAUAGCUCCACCUUGUGGAGCAUGUCUUUAAUUUUUGCAAUCGAGCCAUCCCC